rnacentral:tRNA from 1 species
GGGCGCGUCGUCUAGCCUGGUUUAGGAUAUCGCCUUGACAUGGCGAAGGUCCCCGGUUCAAAUCCGGGCGUGCCCA